AAUGGUUCUGUGCUAUGUACCGGAGUGUAACAACUACUCCGAUUAACCUCAUAUGCAUUUCAUGGUUUUCCGACCUCUGUAAGGCAUCGCUGGAACCGAGUGAUGAGACAUGAUGCGGAACAUCGGGCUCACCCCACGAAAAGCAGUGCAUGAUAAACGCCACCCCCAGCCAGGAGAUCAGCUGACCCAAGAAACCACACAAGGGUUAAGCAUUCCAGAUGAUUUUCAAAGGCUGUGUCCUAACCAACUCUACUUACUUAUUUGGAGUUCAAUGGAAACAUUGAAGUUCCAGGCACGUGGGAUGAUGCCAGAUGCUGGAAUAGCAGCAAUGCCACGUACAGGCAGGGAUGACUGGAGCCUUCAGCGGGUAAGAUGUGGGUGCCAACUUUGGGAACAUGUGGUCCUUGAAAAACGCCUCAUCUCCAGCAAUAUGAGUCUGCCAGAGGUUAUCACGCUGGAUGGGGAUGGUGAUGGAGGCUUUGGUGGUCCACACAGACAUUUCAUUGAUGCUUCUUCAUUGUAUCUCAGUAAAAUCUUUGAAACUGUUGCAUAUACAUUUUUGCUCAGUAUAUCUUUACAAUAAAAAAACAAGGUGACCACCGAAAGCCAGAUGGAGACGUGUUAAUUAUAAGGGCACUCGGUCCUUAUAUUACCGUAGCAUAGGCUAUGCUGGAGUAAAUGUCGGCCUACCUGUCACAAGAAAAAAAGUUACCAUUAUGAGAUGAUAGGUCUACAUGCAUUGUGAACUGCGCUCCAUGCUGAGAUGGGUUGUAUGUACACACCCUGAGUAUUGAUGAUUGGUCAGGCAGAGAGAAGGCCAUAGACAAGCCAGAUUUAGACAUUGCAUAUAAUUUUACAGUUCCAUU